GACGACGUGCCAGAGUGGUUAACGGGUUACAUUGCUAAUGUAGUGCUCUACGAGCGCGAGGGUUCGAAUCCCUUCGUCGUCG